UAAUUUGUUAAGUACUAUGUAUCAUGAGUAUUACUAAUGUGUAAUUCAUAUUAUUUUUCUUUUUCAUUUGUUUUUUUUUUUUUCUAAACCUAAAGAAAAUAUUAACAACUGAACUAAAGAUUUAUUGAAAAAAAAACUUAAAAACCCAAUGAAAGCACUGGGAUGCUAACUAAGGGUAGAUUCUCGUCAAAAUCCUCAGCGAAAAUCCAGAGGAAAAAAUAUUAAUGAAGAAAACAGAUAAUCCGUAUAGUAAAAAAAAAAAAAACUGAGGACAAACCAAAGGUAAACACAAGCAGCUGGUAGAACAACAUGCAAGAAAAAGAAAAACCCAACAGAGCCAUAGUGAACCAAAACCAGGCCCUAACGCACCAAAAAUCAUAUUUCAUCCGUCCAUCAAUUCGUGUCCUAG
rnacentral:lncRNA from 1 species